CUUCAGUGAUGAUACGAUGACGAGUCGGAAUAGGACACAGGCUGUCUCUGGGGCCCUGGCUCAGGGUCACGUUCUGUGUCUCUGGGUUCGGUCUCCAGAGUCGCGGGUCCUCAUCGAUUGAUGACAUUGAGGCAUUUGUCUGAGAAGG